ensembl:lncRNA
CUUUUUUUCCCUCUUUCUUGAAAAUAGAUGCCACAUCUGCCCUCUUCAGACUUUUCACCUUUUCCCAUGUCUUUUAAAUGACUUGGUGAUUCAACAAAGCUCCUCUUUAAAAUUAUUUAUGAUGACAGUGUGUCAAGACUUGCCAUUUUGAAAAUUUUUUUUCUGAUUUUAGAUAUGCCUUUCAUACCUUCUUUGAGCAAUAUCUCAAUACUUUUCAUCUCAGUUGCCUUGAGAUCAAUUUUUUCAUUGCCUCUUUUCUAUAAACAUAUUUAUAAAUUCAGCCACUAGUGGAACAUUAUCAAUGCCCCUACCUGCUGCUCUUGGCACAACAUUGCACUUUUAAGCUUGUCCUUUGUAAUCUAAAUAAUCCAUUUCCCCUGCCUGUAUACUUUGCUGUGAUGUUUAAGAUACACGCACCCCUCAUUUGGCAAAGGUAAUUCCUUACAAUGCUUCAUGCUUUUCUUUCACAGUGGAGUAAUUUAUGUUGGUGUCCUUUUUCAGGAGACCCCUGCUUUUCAACCCCUCUUCUUCAUUACCUAUUCUUUCAUAAGACCUCAAAGGACAGUUUUGCGACUUUUUUGUUGACUUUGAGGUUUGUCUGUAUCAUAAUUCCACUGCACCACAAAUGCUUCUGCAGGAUCUGUUGCUACAAUGGUUGUUCCUUUCUAUUAAUGGGGACUGUGUCAGAAUGAUGGUAAAAAAUGUUCAUUUUUUUAUGAGUAACAACCAGAAUAACAAUUUUUAAUUCAAGGAAGUAUGAGUGCUCUCUUUGAGUCAGGCCAAACUAACCAUGCACAGGAAUGGGUAACUGCGGUUAGAGUUGGGUAGCUCUUAUCCCUGAGAAUCACUCAUGAGAGAAAAACUUAAAGCUGGAAAAACCAGAUUCUCUUUACUUUUCAUUUUCCACUUUUCUCUAUUUUUACAAUUUCUUUUUUGCUUCAGUGUGCAUUCCCUCACAACUUUUCUGCUGGGGUUGUACUUUUAUGCCCAUAAUAUAUUCACUGUCUCAAUUACAUCAGUGUUUGCCAGAGCAACAUACCCAGAGAAGCCCAUGGCAACAGCUACGGUAUCUUGGAUAGUUUUUGAGGAGAUGCCUCAAGAUUGCAAUUUGGGCAGCAAGAGGGACAAAAGAAACAGGACUUUUUACCAAGAAACACCUUGCAUUUCUGGCUUUUUUGUCACUCUGUGCCAUGUUUCCUGCAGCAGCAUCACCUCCAAAAGCAGCCUGGAGUUAAAGUGCAUGGAUGGAAUGGGGCCAAGGUGAGGAAGCUGAGUAUACUUCAAAGGACUUAAAAGACAGUUUUGGGGUAGUGAGAGAGUGUGGUCUGGCUUCCGUACGGAUUUUAUACUGAUCUUAAAUGUACCAUGUGCAUUUUAUACUGAUUGUAAUGUACCAUGAAAUCAUCCUAUACAGAGAGGAGAAGUCAAAUUUUCCUCCAGCUUUGAAAAGAGAAAAAAUACAAAUAUUAAUGGGCUUGUAGACUUGACUCAGCUUUUCCCACUCAAAAUCUACCAUAUUGAAGCUGACUUCCUUUGUCUCAGUAAGACUUCAGAAAUGACAGGACAAGACACACCUGU